rnacentral:rRNA from 1 species
GACGGUAGCAAUCACGUGCCUAACACAUGCAAAUCGAAUGAAAAGAAUUAAUUAUUGUUUUCAUGGUGAACGGGUGAGUAACACAUAAGAAUCAGCUUUUAGAUAAGGCAUAAAAGAGUAAUAUCUUGGUAAUUCCUUAUAUGCGCAGCAGUGCUUAAAAAGGGGAGUCCCGUCUAAAAACGAGCUUAUGCCUGAUUAGCUAGUUGGCGAGUUAAAAGCUCACCAAGGCGAAGAUCAGUAGCUGGCCUGAGAGGGCGGCCAGCCACAUUGGGACUGAGACACGGCCCAAACUCCUACGGGAGGCAGCAGUGGGGAAUCUUCUGCAAUGGGCGCAAGCCUGACAGAGCGGCGUCGUGUGAAGGAAGAAGGCCUGAAAUAGGUUGUAAACUUCUUUUACUGAAUAAUGAAUAAUGACAACGCAGUAAAAAAGUAUCGGCUAACUCCGUGCCAGCAGCCGCGGUAAUACGGGGGAUGCAAGCGUUAUCCGGAAUCACUGGGCGUAAAGCGUCUGUAGGUGGUUUAGUGUGUUCUUAGUUAAAUUCUGAAGCCUAACUUCAUGAAAAGUAAGAAAACUAUUAGACUUGAGUACGAUAGGGGUAAGAGGAAUUCUUCGAGAAGUAGUGAAAUGCGAAGAUACGAAGGAGAAGAUCAUAAGCGAAGGCUUCUUACUGGGUCGUAACUGACACUGAGAGACGAAAGCUAGGGGAGCGAAUGGGAUUAGAUACCCCAGUAGUCCUAGCUGUAAACGAUGGAUAUUCGGUGCCGGAAAUUUUAUUAGAACAUUUCGGUACCCUAGCUAACGCGUUAAAUAUCCCGCCUGAGGAGUACGCUCGCAAGGUGAAACUCAAUGAAUUGACGGAAGGUC